rnacentral:sRNA from 1 species
CUUCCCUGGGCCGGGUGCGGUGGGCGUUCCGAAGGGCCAGUCCCCCAGGCCACGCCCAGAACCGCGCCCCGGGGGUUGGGACCCCCAGGGCGAAGGUGGGUGACCUGCAUGGCUGGUGCCACCCUCUCCUUUCACGCAGCUGACCCUGGAGCAGCCGCAGGGGGAUUCUAUGAUGACCUGCGAGCAGGCCCAGCUCUUGGCCAACCUGGCGCGGCUCAUCCAGGCCAAGAAGGCGCUGGACCUGGGCACCUUCACGGGCUACUCCGCCCUGGCCCUGGCCCUGGCGCUGCCCGCGGACGGGCGCGUGGUGACCUGCGAGGUGGACGCGCAGCCCCCGGAGCUGGGACGGCCCCUAUGGAGGCAGGUGAGCGCCCGCGCCUAGCUCUGCAGCCCCAGGCGGGGGCGCAACGGCUGACCCGCUCCCUCCGCAGGCCGAGGCGGAGCACAAGAUCGACCUCCGGCUGAAGCCCGCCUUGGAGACCCUGGACGAGCUGCUGGCGGCGGGCGAGGCCGGCACCUUCGACGUGGCCGUGGUGGAUGCGGACAAGGAGAACUGCUCCGCCUACUACGAGCGCUGCCUGCAGCUGCUGCGACCCGGAGGCAUCCUCGCCGUCCUCAGAGUCCUGUGGCGCGGGAAGGUGCUGCAACCUCCGAAAGGGGACGUGGCGGCCGAGUGUGUGCGAAACCUAAACGAACGCAUCCGGCGGGACGUCAGGGUCUACAUCAGCCUCCUGCCCCUGGGCGAUGGCCUCACCUUGGCCUUCAAGAUCUAGGGCUGGCCCCUAGUGAGUGGGCUCGAGGGGGGCUUGCCUGGGAACCCCAGGAAUUGACCCUGAGUUUUAAAUUCGAAAAUAAAGUGGGG